AGUAAAGUGACUCGCGAGUUUUGAACGAUUCGUUCACGACUCGCACAUCACUAGUAGCCUUCAUUGCAAGCUUCGCAGCCCGAGGGAGAAGACGAGGAACGCAAUUUAUCAAGGUCAGGAGUUCGUGGUGCGUUCUCUUGGGUUUUUCUGCAGCCUCUGCUCCGUUUUUUUCUGAAGAACGCCUCCGACGACCUUCACUGCUGCGCCGAAAGUCACCACAACAACCUCCAGAAACAGAACCAGACAGGCUUUGGUUCAGAUGGGUUCUUUGAUCACGAGCUGCUUCAGGUCCUGAGAUCGCCUCAGGAUUCCCCCCAGAGGAGCUGGAGGAAGUGUCCAGAGACGGAAAAGUCUGGAGACUUUUGCUUCGACUGCUGACUCUGUGACCUGGUUCUGGAGGGAUGAAGAAUGGAUCGACCUGUUGUCCAGCUGCGACCACUCACCUCAUCACCUCGCCUGCCUUUUUAAGGAGCACCAGGAUCAUCAUUCUUCGCCAGUCCGUUGCCCCUGAUGGAAUCUGUUACCACGAGUGGUCGCUGCUGUCUGUCUCUGCCGGAUUCCCAGUUGGAUCCUCUCUCCACGGUCACACCACGAGCCUCUGCCUUUGCUCCACGGUCCUGCUCCCAAGACGGCUAUCUCCCUCUCCGAGGAACCAACCGGUGACGCCUCCAGCCUCGACUUCCUGCUUGGAGCCCACUUCUUGCCCUGUUCAAGUUACUACCUCCUCGCAUCACUAUUAAAUCCUUUAUCUACCA